UUAUACAUGCAAGUAUCCGCACUCCAGUGAGAAUGCCCUCUAAGUCUUAAAGAUUAAAAGGAGCAGGUAUCAAGCACACCUUAACGGUAGCUCACAACGCCUUGCUCAACCACACCCCCACGGGACACAGCAGUAAUAGAAAUUAAGCCAUGAACGAAAGUUUGACUAAGUUAUAUUAAACAGAGUUGGUAAAUAUCGUGCCAGCCACCGCGGUCAUACGAUUAACCCAAAUAAAUAGAACUACGGCGUAAAGAGUGUCUAAGAAANNCCCCAUAAUAGAGCUAAAUUUCAACUAAGCCGUAAAAAGCCAUAGCUGAAAAAUAAAUAAACUACGAAAGUGGCUCUAACAUUUCCAACACACGAUAGCUAGGACUCAAACUGGGAUUAGAUACCCCACUAUGCCUAGCCCUAAACCCAAAUAAUUAACCAACAAAAUUAUUCGCCAGGGUACUACUAGCAACAGCCUAAAACCCAAAGGACUUGGCGGUGCUUCACAUCCAUCUAGAGGAGCCUGUUCUAUAACCGAUAAACCCCGAUAAACCUCACCAGCCCUUGCCAAAUCAGCCUAUAUACCACCAUCUUCAGCAAACCCUAAAAAGGAACAACAGUAAGCACAACUAUAAUACAUAAAAACGUUAGGUCAAGGUGUAGCCCAUGGGUUGGGAAGAAAUGGGCUACAUUUUCUACACAAGAACACCCACGAAAAUUCUUAUGAAAUUAAGAAUCAAAGGAGGAUUUAGCAGUAAAUUAAGAGUAGAGUGCUUAAUUGAAUAAGGCCAUGAAGCACGCACACACCGCCCGUCACCCUCCUCAAGUAGGUAAAAACACACAAAACUUAUUACAAACAUAGCUACACAAGAGGAGACAAGUCGUAACAAGGUAAGCAUACUGGAAAGUGUGCUUGGACAAC
rnacentral:ncRNA from 1 species